CUACGAGGAGAGAAGGAUCUCUUCAGGACACCUGUCUUCUGGAGUUUUGUAGAGAGCCCAGGAUACAGAGGUGCCAAGUAAUAAACCAAGUUGUGUCCUGCACCAGAUCCUUUGCAGAGCUGAAUGAAACUGAGUCCAGCACAGGGCAGACUGACAGAGUCUCAUCAUUUACACCCAACACAAAUAUCAUCUUUACACUCAUAUGCAGUAUUCCUGUACUAUCGGAGUAAACCAUGGGACACUACUAUUCCACAUUUCAGGUGAAGGCAUGAAAUCAGGGAAGUAUGUUCUAAAAUCAAGAAUGAAGACUGCCCUGUUCUAUUAUGGAAAAGUGUUCAAAAACUUAAUGGCAUAACCUUAGACAAGUGAAGAUUUCAGCAAUUGGAGCAAGACUGCUGGUGGAAAACGUAAAUAACAUGAAGAAUAAAUAAAUGAAGAAAUGAGUUUUAGAUGCUUUUUUAUAGUCAAAUGUUCCUUUUGGGAAAAAUAAUACAUGGAUACUUUUGGAACUUCAGACCAAAUGUUCAGGUUGAAUGUUUAUGUUCACUCAUUCUGACAGUAAUGUCAGAUUGGAUUUAUUUCAUGUAAACUGAGCAGCUGCAACGUUUUCUUCACAUAAAGUCUACCAAACACAUGGUUCCUAUGCUUCCAGAUAUGCUUAUGUUGUCUGCUUUAUCAAACUGCUGUCACUAUGUUGAAUUUAUGCUGGAAAAUCUAGAUUCCCUAGAAUAGCCUAUGAGAAGAGCUAGGACCAGUGGAAAACAAGGAAUAAGAUUAACAGAUGUUGAAAAACUAUAGAAGACAUUUGCCACUGGAGUGAUUUUUUUUUU